rnacentral:lncRNA from 1 species
GAAAAUGGCGGAUGAGGCCGGGCGCGGUGGCUCACGCCUGUGGUCCCAGCACUUUGGGAGGCCGAGGCGGGCGGAUCACAAGGUCAGGAAAUCGAGACCAUCCUGGCGAACACUGUGAAACCCCGUCUCUUCUAAAAAUACAAAAAAAAAUUAGCCAGGCGUGGUGGCGGGCGCUUGUAGUCCCAGCUACUCAGGAUGCUGAGGCAGGAGAAUGGCGUGAACCCGGGAGGCGCAGCUUGCAGCGAGCCAAGAUGGCGCCGCUGCACUCCAGCCUGGGCAGCAGAGCGAGACUCCAUCUCAAAAAAAAAAAAAAAAAAAAAGAAAAGAAAAGAAACUGGCGGACAAAGGAAGAGAUCCUCCUUCAGGCAGGGUAGGGAAGAAGGGCACUCGGUGACCAGAGACCUUUUCCAGGACCAUGUCUUUGAAGCAAAUCUCAGCUCUUGUCUUCCGGAAGCGAUGGAGACAGAAUCCAGAAGCCUGAGACUCUCUCCUUUCCUGGCUUUGAUGAAGCAAGCUGCCACACUGGAGAGGCCUACAUGAUAAGGACCUGAAGGUGGCCUCCAGCUAGCUCCAGCCAACAGUUGGCAAGGAAUUGAGGACCUGAGUCCAAUAGACCUUGAGGAACUGAAUCCUGCAACAGCUACACAAGUGAGCAUGGCAGUGUAUCCUUCCCCAGUAAAGCCUUCAGAUGAGACCCCAGCCCCAGCUGACACCUUGAUUGAAGCCUUGUGAGAGACCCUGAAGCAGAGAAACCAGCUAGGCCUUGCCUGGAUUCCUGAUCCACAAACUGCUUUUGUGAUGCCCUAUAAUUACAUGAACUCUACUAAAAAGAGGGAUACUGGAAAGAAGAAUAAUGUUGAGACACCUUUGCAGAAGAAAAAACAACUUCCUCUCUUCCUCUACUUCACUCUGGCAAGUUCUCCAACCUGACAAGCCAGUAGGGAGUGCCGGAAUGUCAUGGCUGAGAAAAGAGAUGUUAACAGGCUGUAUGAUGUUGGCCACAGAGUGCCCCCCUAAAGAGGCCUCAGAAGAAUGAAGGGAGUGCCGGAAUGUCAUGGCUGAGAAAAGAGAUGUUAACAGGCUGUAUGAUGUUGGCCACAGAGUGCCCCCCUAAAGAGGCCUCAGAAGAAUGAAGGCUGAAAGAGGAUUUCUUCUGUGAGAGCCACACUUGAUGUGCUCAGUUAGAAGUCCUCAUCCAGGGCACAGACUCAGAGGUCGACAGUCACAUCUGUGCUCCCUCACAGGGCAAGCAUCCCAGAGACAGAGCUCUGGCUCCAGCCUCUGCUCAGAGACUCUCAGCGUUACUCCCCUGGUCAGCCCAACAAGAAGGAAGGCUUUGUUGAAUGACGGGUGACAUGGGAAUCUGACUCAUGAUCAAAUUUCAGCAGAGACUAUUCUCCUUCAGAGAGCCCAGACUCUCUAAAUAAUCCCACCUGGGACCACAGAAUUACUGUUUGGGAUUUUAUCCUGGAACUCUCCACCACAGCCGGAUAGGUAGUCUAUGAGCUACAGAUGGAAACCUUUGUCCUCCUGAACCCCUACAUCUGCCCAACCUGUUCCACAGAAGAGUGAAGUUCUAUCCUCUCUUCAGACUUCCCAUCUAAGACAUGUCUCUGUACUAACCAAACUUAUUUAGAAAUGUGGGAAUAGGAUUCGGAAACAAAAACAGGGCAUCUCUCUUGGGUGUUCACCCACAGUUCCUUACCUUUUGG